UGCGUGUGACGGCUGUGUAGAUACGAGCGAAGCGCUCUCAUUCGAUCACUUCACAGUUACGCACAACUAUCUCGUCUGUCUCAAACCCCUCCCGCCCUCAUUCGCUGGUGAACCGUGUUGAGGUCUCUUAUUACUGUUCCAUCGGUCACCAAAGGUAUCCGAAACCUGCAUUUCACGCAUCCAAAACACUCCCUGCUCGGAGCGGUACAUUGUAGAGGGGGUUUGGCAAAUCGCGCGGACUUGUGUGACCUGUUUCUUGCUGCGCACCACUUAUACAUCCUUCUCGGCGCUACAGCGUCGGUGACACUGCUCUUUACCUCCUCCGUACACUCGUUUGUACGCUCACCGAACUUCUGCGCCUGCAUCCGCAGAGGAGAGGCUGGGCACCCACUCAACUAUGUGUUUGUGUGUCUAUGAAACUCUCUCGUGUGCAAUUCUGUUUCUGCCGUAUCUGUUGUCGCCUGGCUUCUUUGCUCACUUCUUGUGUAUCCGGUCGGCCUUUUCACGGACUUCAUCUCACUGGCCUGUGCGUGUGUCUUCGAGAAAAACAAUCGUCUCUUCCGCUCCGCUCCUCUUCGCUCUUGUAGUUGAGUCGCGACUGUGUGUCGUAGACCGCGCAUCCGUGUGGUAUAUGCAGAAAGCGCCGCUGCCGCUACGCAACAUAGGCCGAAGAACGAGCGGCGAAAACCUCGCCAGCCCCACGCGCAGAGGCGCACGCGCUUUUCUUUGGUUCUCUUCGACUAGUAACCAGCAAUGUCGCUCACGUUUUAUCUUUUUCUGCUUGUCGCUGUCGUGGUGCUGCCGCUGCUCUCCUUUCUGCGCAACGGCGCCAUCCUGCGCGGCGGCGCGGUUCCUGCAGCGCAGGGCCCGGGCAAGGGCAUUCGCAGCUCCUUCAUCAUCGCCCUUCGUGGCAGCAAGUCACCCUCCUCGCUAGCGAAGCGCAGCAGGGCAGCGCCGACCUUCAUGGAUACAGCGCUGAACUCGGCCACAUCGAGCAGCGGGACGCUAGCCCUUGGCAGUCCCGCCUCCCCCCACAGCCAAAGCAGAGAGUUGUUCCUGCAGGCGCGGCAGAGGGCGGAUAUGGAAAAGCAGCGGCAACGGUUGCUGCAGGCCAACGGCCAGCCGGCUGCAGCGGCGGAUGCCCAAUCUACACCUCCCGCCUCCUCCGGUGUCGCCUCGGCGUGGGAUCAGAAGCAGCUCUCGGCGGAUGACAAUAUCCGUCUUGUCUUUCUCUUCACCCUCGCGGUCCCGACCUUCGCGUUUUGGUACUGCAGCCUGCGCACGAUGGAGCAGAGGGCACUGCUGUGGAUUUAUCGGCACUGCCGAAGCGCCAACGCGACGGCUUCCGUGGACGUAAACAGGAAGACUCUUUUCCCAGUUCCACUUGCUGAGCUGAUGCUCGGCUUUGGCUGCGUCGCACUCGUGUGGUACGCUAGUUUCGUCUACCUCGAUCACCGAGAUAAGGAUGUGAGCCUGAAGCGGCACAACAAGCGGUGGUUUGACCGCGCGGUCAACUGGUUCAAGUUUUGCGUGUACCGGCGGUACGUCGACUGCCAGUGCCGCUUGUGGAAGCGCUACUUCUCCCUGCAGCUGGUGGCGGCAUAUGGCCCCCUGCCGCUGUUCUUGUUCCCAGGUGAGGCGGAGGCCGGUGAGCGCGGCCAGUCUGCGGAGAGCGGCCACACCUCUACGCGCGCGUUCGGUGUGGUGUCGGCCACCCGCCACAAUCCGUUCUUUAUCUCCGCCACGACCGCCUCGACAUAUGGCGUACCGUCCCCGACGGACACGCCGGUCAGCACCGCCGGGACCGCGCUGGGUAACGCAUCGGCAACAACGUCGCACAAGCGUGGCAAUGACAAUAGCGGCGAUGACUGGGACGAAGAGGAGCGUAGGCUCCUGCGGCCGCGCCACCACCGUGCUUCCACUACCCCGACGAGGCCGCCGUCGAAACAGCGUUGUGACGCGCACGGCCAGCCCGGCGAUCUGCACGCGCGCCAGCCCUCUGUCUCGUUCUCCUCGUCGGAGGUGCUGCAGGAGUGCUCCACGCCGCCACCGCCACCAAAGCCGCCGGCGAUGCGACGCGCUCACUACUUCUUCGCUGCUCACCCGCACGGCAUCCUUCCCUGGUGCUGCUGCGUGAACAUGAUCGGCAACGUCACGCACCGCGACGAGAAGCUCUUUCUAGACAACCGCGCCACGUUACUCCAUCCUCGCGACGCGUCGCACAUCUCGGUGCUCUCGGAGCUGGGGCAGCAGUCGUCGUCGUCGCUGCCACGUGCGUCCAACACCUUCACAACGAGUAGCACCCGUGCCAGCCCCCCCAUCUCCGGCCUAACUCUGGGCCCCUCUGCGUCGCCAACCACCGUCGCCGCGGAGGCCUUGACCGGUGCUGACUCGGCAGGUGAUGGUGUGGCAUACGCGAAGGGGCGCUACUAUGUCUACGACCCCUUCUUCAAGAAAUUCGUGCUUCGGCUCGAUAAGGACGAGGCGGUUCCAGCGACGCCCGCGGACGCGGAGGUGCACCGCCGGCGCCUUCGCACCGCGCAGGUGAAGGGUGAUGCUGCUGCCAUAAAGAAAGAAACCGAGGCUGGUGCAGUCGCGGCACGGCCCAGCGCUCUGCGCCGCCUGGUCAAAAUUCGCAUACGCGCCGUGGUCGCCACUUUCCCCUUCUAUGUCCCCCUCAUGCGCGAAGUCUACAUGUUUCACGGCUACAUGGAUGCCUCGUACGAGACAUGCAAGCGUGUGCUGCUGUACAACAACAGCACCCAGCGAGAGCGAGAGGGCUUGCCCCCCGUCUCGCCGGCCUCCUCUCGGAAAGCCGAGCUCGCCACGGGCGCGAAAGAUUAUGGCAUCGGCAACGGCGAUGCCAGCGAUGACGAGUAUGAUGAGAACACCUAUCCUGAUGACCUCAACCACCUGCUACUGUUCCCGGGUGGCGCUUCCGAGGCUCUUCUAUCCUCGGCUCACGGUCCCGCUCGUCUGCUGCUGCGACGCCGCAAAGGCUUCCUUCGCUUGGCGAUCCACACACAGAGUGGGCUCGUGCCUGUGUACACCUUUGGGGAGACGGACUACUUUGAGCAGCGCAGCUCCGCCACCACGCAGCACGCGACCCCAGUUGACGACGACGAGGGCUCGACGUACAUGUCGCGGCAGGGGCCGGUGGCAGACGCUCUCUUGAGACCAGACUCCGCGGGUGGCGACGGAGCGGCACCUCAGACGGCGGCCAAUGCGUCACCGCUGUCGCAAGAGGAGCAGCAGAUGCACCGGCACCCGCCCGAGAACGGCCCGACCGCAGGGCAACACGGCGAUGGCACCUCCGCUUUGGGCCCAACUGACCGCCGUGGUGAUAGCACCUCAUCCACAGGCACCACGCUACCGAACACCGUGCGCUCUCCCUGCCAGCCACCCCCUAGCGGCUCCACAUUGACGUCCCCAACGCUGUCGCCCAUCGCCUCAGCACUGCUGCACCCGGCCGCAGCGCUCGGAAAGGCGCACCAACGCGAAUCAUGGAAGGACCGGGAGAGGAGACUCCUGAGGGAGGAGGGCGAAGCGCGGGGCCGAAACGGGCGGUCGCCGACACCGCUGCGCGUGCAGGCGUUAUCCUUGGAAAAACGGCACGAAAGCAGCGACAGCGCGGCCUCGCUGAGGGAGUUAGAGGCGGCGCCGAUGAUGAGCCACGAGACGAGUUUGUCAGCGAAGCCGCAGGACGGCCUCCCUUCUGUUUCCGAGCAGGUAGCCCAGAAGCACGCAGCAAAGACGGAGGGCAAGGUGGCGACGGCCUCCUCGCCCCCCACCGUCAGCCGCCUCUCGCGCUUUAUACAGGUUGUGCAGCGCCUCUUUCAGGAUACGUUCGGUCUCUCGCUGCCCAUCGUAAAGAACAUCAUCCCGCACCGCGUCACGGGUGCUACAGUCGUGGGCCGUCCAAUCUACUUCGAGCUGCCGCCCGAGCUGCAGCGCAUGUACACCGACCCGGCGAAUUACUUCGAAAAGGAGAAGGAUCAGGAGGUGCUGCGGGCUGCGCAGGAGGUGUACUUUCAUGAACUGCAAGAGCUCUUUCUGAAGUACGCGCCACAGUACUUGAAGGACCCCGGUCGGCGCAAGCUCGAGAUCGUCUAGGUGGCGCAAUGGUGUGAACCUCUUUCUUUCUCCCUCUCCCUUUCUCCGUGCCAUGUGCACUUUCCCUUGUGUGGGCGGGAGCGCUGCAUCGCUGGAGUUGGUAUCCGGUCUGCUGCUUGCUCUGCUCCGAGGCCAUCUCGUUGCCAAGGAUUCCGAGCGGGAGUAGCGGGGCGAUGAGCCUUUUUUUUUUUGAUUAUCUCUCGUCUGCGUGUGCCUGGUUGUGCUCCCGAGCGCCAUUGGUUGCCCGAGAAGGGUCGUGAGAGGGAGAGAAAAGUGCGGGGGAGGCCGACAACACUGGCGUGGAGGACGAAGGGAGAGAACAGAGUGCUGCGUUAGUCGGUAUUAUGCUUUGGCUUUGUCGUUUGGCUACUCUUGUGUGCUCCUCUGUGUGGGUGCGUGUGUGCAGUCUGCGGUGCCUUGGGGGGGGGGGGGGUGGACCGUUGUCAUCAGGAGCCUCGGCCAUCGACGACACUGCACGAGUCAAAAGGCUUUCAAGGCGAUGCCACCCAUGCGCGAGCACUGAAAUACAGCCGCCGGCCCCGCAGGCCCAUCAUCGGCCGAAUAUGCUUUUUUGUGUUGCGUUUUGCUUUGCCUUGUGUCCUCCAACACAGAAAAUCCUUCGCGCCAUCAAGCGCGUGCUUUCUCUUUCCGUUCCCGCCACUGUUUCCUCUCCCUUUGCUUCUCCCACCUUGAAAUGUGCCCCUGACGACGGGGGCGCACCUCAGUGCGUGGCAUCUCCGGGCCCAGCGCACCUUACCCCCCCCCCCACUCUCUCGGUCGGAGGAAGCCAUGCACUAUCCCCUCCCCUAUCCCCUGCCAAAUGCCGAGCCACCUCUGGCGCUGGCAGGGCGGUGCAUCGCUGCUGACAGCGGACCGCCAGGCCCUGGGCGGCGUGGCGUCCGGGUGAUCUGCAGCCGCGAACGCGCGUGUGCACUCUCCACAUGAUGGGCAGAGUGUCCGCGUGACUCGAACGCAUCCCACCCAUCCACCCCUCCCCGCCCCCGGCCCUCGCACGGCCCACUGGUGUGGGGAGGCCUGAGCCGCCCCGAGGAGAGGGGGGUGGGGGUAGGCUGCACCAGGGGGUGGCAGCCGGCACAGCGGGGGAGCGGCUGUGAGGCGACCUGCGAGGCGGUGGGUGAGCGGGUAGAGCUGGAGGGCGGGGGCCGUGCCCCAUAUGACCGAGCCGGCGCAUCUGGUGCGAUGCGUGCGUGUCUGUGGCAGGGCUUGGCGGAGGGGUCGAGUAAAAUUUUUAGCUCCUGCUUUACGGCAGAGCAACGGGCACAGCUUGCAGUCAAAACCAUGGGCCGCUGCAUAUUCGCGAGUAUCUGCGUGUGUCUCUCUCCAGCCAUCACUACCGCCCUUUGCGCGCGCCCUCCUCACUUUGUGGUUUGCGUUCGUUUCGUUCUCGUCUCCUGCUUCCUCAGGCAUGUGUAUUGCUAUUCUCCUUUGUAUGUGUACAUCUGUGUGCAUGGGGAUGUAUGCUUGUAUAUGGAUCGAUAUGUGUAUUCUGUGUGUGUGUGUGUGUGCCGGAAGCUGGUGCCCGUCAGGGCUUGGCGUGUGAUCUUGUGCACCCUUUGCUCUGCUGUCUGGGCUCUUGUGAUGUUUGCGCUUACUCUCGUUUUCUGCACGUUCCCUUUUCCUCCCUCUUUCUCUCAUCCAUGUGUGCAGGUAGCCUGCUCACCUCACGGUGUGCGGGUCGGUGGCUGUUUCAUUUCUUCAUUGACUUGUGCUUUUGCUUCGCAUCUUUCAAGGUCCUUUUCUUUGACCUCCCUCCCCCCUCCUGCCGGUCGGUCGGUCAGUCUCUGUGAGUCCAUCUCAAGUGCACGGGCUCUUGCGUCUUCGCUCUUCACGCUUCUUUCCUUAUUGUCGUUUUUUCUUCGCCACGGACGUUUGGCAGACACCGUUGUGCGCGUGCACGGAGGGUGCUGGUAUUUGCUUUGGUGCACCUUCCUCCCUUUCCCACCAGCGUUGGCAGGGAUGUUUUGCCUCCUGGCAUCACUGCCUCAAUCGCGCCGCCACACCCCCGCCUUGCUGAGGCUGCAGGUGUCGACGAGCAUGACGCUCGCAAGAGGUGGCCUGUUCGGCGGCGUCGAGUAUUCCUGCAGGCGUGUGCCUGCGCUUGACGCCGAGGCACGUCCCUUCUUUGCCUAUGUGCUGCUCGUCGCUCUCUCCUUGUCGGGCCCAUUCGUUGUUGUUUCGUUUCCCUCAUCCCCCCGCGUCGACAGAUCGGUGUGUGUCUACCAUCUGGUGCAUUCGGUGCGUUGCGGUAUCUCUCAGCUCCGCAAAGGAGGCACCAUGGAAAAC
rnacentral:misc_RNA from 1 species